GAGUAUGAAAUUAGUUAGUUUAUAUAGUUGAGUUUUUACGUUAGAU
rnacentral:tRNA from 1 species